GACGAACGCUGGCGGCGUGCCUAAUACAUGCAAGUCGAGCGAGUCUGCCUUGAAGAUCGGAGUGCUUGCACUCUGUGAAACAAGAUACAGGCUAGCGGCGGACGGGUGAGUAACGCGUGGGUAACCUGCCCAAGAGAUCGGGAUAACACCUGGAAACAGAUGCUAAUACCGGAUAACAACAGAUGAUGCCUAUCAACUGUUUAAAAGAUGGUUCUGCUAUCACUCUUGGAUGGACCUGCGGUGCAUUAGCUAGUUGGUAGGGUAACGGCCUACCAAGGCGAUGAUGCAUAGCCGAGUUGAGAGACUGAUCGGCCACAUUGGGACUGAGACACGGCCCAAACUCCUACGGGAGGCAGCAGUAGGGAAUCUUCCACAAUGGACGCAAGUCUGAUGGAGCAACGCCGCGUGAGUGAAGAAGGGUUUCGGCUCGUAAAGCUCUGUUGUUGGUGAAGAAGGACAGGGGUAGUAACUGACCUUUGUUUGACGGUAAUCAAUUAGAAAGUCACGGCUAACUACGUGCCAGCAGCCGCGGUAAUACGUAGGUGGCAAGCGUUGUCCGGAUUUAUUGGGCGUAAAGCGAGUGCAGGCGGCUCGAUAAGUCUGAUGUGAAAGCCUUCGGCUCAACCGGAGAAUUGCAUCAGAAACUGUCGAGCUUGAGUACAGAAGAGGAGAGUGGAACUCCAUGUGUAGCGGUGAAAUGCGUAGAUAUAUGGAAGAACACCGGUGGCGAAGGCGGCUCUCUGGUCUGUUACUGACGCUGAGGCUCGAAAGCAUGGGUAGCGAACAGG
rnacentral:rRNA from 1 species